rnacentral:rRNA from 1 species
GACAGAGGGGGCAAGCGUUGCUCGGAAUCACUGGGCGUAAAGGGCGCGUAGGCGGGAUGGCAAGUCGGUCGUGAAAUCCUUCGGCUCAACCGAAGAACGUCGGCCGAUACUGCCGUUCUUGAGGGAUGCAGAGGAGAUUGGAAUUCCUGGUGUAGCGGUGAAAUGCGCAGAUAUCAGGAGGAACACCGGUGGCGAAGGCGGUGAUCUGGGCCGACACUGACGCUGUAGAGCGAAAGCGUGGGGAGCGAACAGG